GAAAUGCGAUACUUGGUGUGAAUUGCAGAAUCCCGCGAACCAUCGAGUCUUUGAACGCAAGUUGCGCCCGAGGCCACUCGGCCGAGGGCACGCCUGCCUGGACGUCACGCCAGAACACGCUCCCAACCCCCUCAUCGGGAAACAGGAUGCGGCAUCUGGUCCCUCGUCUCGCAAGGGGCGGUGGACCGAAGAUCGGGCUGCCGGCGUACCGCGCCGGACACAGCGCAUGGUGGGCGUCCUCGCUUUAUCAAUGCAGUGCAUCCGACGCGCAGCCGGCAUGGUGGCCUCAAAAUGACCCAGCAAACGAAGCACACGUCGCUUCGACCGCGACCCCAGGUCAGGCGGGACUACCCGCUGAGUUUAA
rnacentral:misc_RNA from 1 species